GUAGUCUCGCACAGAUGCAUAUCAAUAAGCGGAGGAAAAGAAACUAACAAGGAUUCCCCUAGUAACGGCGAGUGAAGCGGGAAGAGCUCAAAUUUGAAAUCUUAAAGGGUUUCCCUUUACGAAUUGUAGUUUAAAGAAGUGUUUUCUGUUGAGGUUUUGGUAAAAGUUCUUUGGAAUAGGACAUCAUAGAGGGUGAGAAUCCCGUAUUUGACCUUUACUUUCAACUUUGUGAUACACUUUCAAAGAGUCGGAUUGUUUGGGAAUGCAGUCCAAAAUGGGUGGUAAAUUUCAUCUAAAGCUAAAUAUUGGCGAGAGACCGAUAGCGAACAAGUACCGUGAGGGAAAGAUGAAAAGAACUUUGAAAAGAGAGUUAAACAGUACGUGAAAUUGUCAAAAGGGAAGCGUUUGACACCAGUGUUGUUUUUCUGAAAAUCAAUUAAAGAACUGUUUAUGCUAAGCUUGUUUAGACUUUAUCAGCUAUCUGUUUAGCUUUGAGCUUUUCUUUAAUGCACUUUUCAGUUAACAGGUCUACAUCAAUUUCUUUUGCUGUAAAAAAGCUUGAGGAAGGUGGCUUGAGAUUCGUCUUAAGUGUUUAUAGCCUCUUGCCUAUGCAGUCGGAGAGAUUGAGGUCUGCAGCGUAGAUCCUUCGGGGCUAAAUGCAUUUGUGCUAAGUUAUAGCAUUUUAUAGACAACUUGUUGACUAUGAUUUGUCUUGUAGCUUACUCGCUUAUGUUAUUUUACCUACGCUUAGGAUGUUGACAGCAGUAUAGACUGU
rnacentral:rRNA from 1 species